CAGUCGCCGCGGUAAUACGUAGGUGGCAAGCGUUGUCCGGAAUUAUUGGGCGUAAAGCGCGCGCAGGCGGAUAGGUCAGUCUGUCUUAAAAGUUCGGGGCUUAACCCCGUGAUGGGAUGGAAACUGCCAAUCUAGAGUAUCGGAGAGGAAAGUGGAAUUCCUAGUGUAGCGGUGAAAUGCGUAGAUAUCAGGAAGAACACCAGUGGCGAAGGCGACUUUCUGGACGAAAACUGACGCUGAGGCGCGAAAGCCAGGGGAGCGAACGGGAUUAGAGACCCCUGUAGUCCCUGUCUCUUAUACA
rnacentral:rRNA from 1 species